rnacentral:lncRNA from 1 species
UGAUGACAUACCAUCUUAAUUAGUAUAAACCUGGGCCUGGCCCAGAGCAAGCACUCCACAGUGAGCCUUAGCUAGGGAACACCACUCUUUUUCCUGGUGGCUGCAAGGCAGAUUCUGAAGUCACAAAAAGUACAAAGAAUGUUAUCAGCUACUGUGAGGACUCCUAGCUCUGCCAGAGAGUAGCAAAUCCACUCAGAUUCUCCAUCUCUAGGACCAUUUACCUCUGUCCUCUGUCCCCACAGUCAGCACUGGUGCACCAUGGGCCUAGGCCUCUAUUAUCUUCUCUGUAGUAGAAGCAGCUGGAACAUAGCCCUCCUAAAUCCCACACACACAUACCCUGUCCCAGCUGGACUCCAGGACACUGGGCUUGGUGCCUCCUCCCUGGCUAUACCCAAGACCCUGUCGGUGGUGCUAACCCUCAUCCUCCUCUGCCUCAACCCCACACGCCUGACCUCCACCGUCAACAUCUCCGAAGACCUCCUCAUCUCGGGGGAUGAAUUCUGAGCUCACGUUCUGGACGGCUGCCAGGAAAGAAGGAAGCGGCGUUGGUUUAAAGCAUCACACAAAAGGCCGCAGAGAAGGAAGUGGAGACUUGGAACAUUGGAGCCAUUUCACCAAGCCAUUUCAUCCGAGGACUGCCUGAGUUCCAGAGAGACGCCACCUUGUUUUGACUCUCGGGAGGUCAACAACAGGCCUGUGUAGACUCCUCAGCGCUUAUUGC